GGCCUCUCAGGGUCGUACCUGGAGAGUUUCUAGUACUCUACCAGUUUCACCUCUGAGAGGGGGAGUCAAGCAGAGGCCUACCCAUUCCAUUCCUGCCUUGGACAGUGGCUAGUGAGUGGAAGGCAAUCUGCUACAAGU